GUAGGUGGCAAGCGUUGUCCGGAAUUAUUGGGGCGUAAAGCGCGCGCAGGCGGUUCUUUAAGUCUGAUGUGAAAGCCCACGGGCUCAACCGUGGAGGGUCAUUGGAAAACUGGAGAACUUGAGUACAGAAGAGGAAAGCGGAAUUCCACGUGUAGCGGUGAAAUGCGUAGAGAUGUGGAGGAACACCAGUGGCGAAGGCGGCUUUCUGGUCUGUAACUGACGCUGAGGCGCGAAAGCGUGGGGAGCAAACAGGAUUAGAUACCCUGGUAGUCCACGCCGUAAACGAUGAGUGCUAAGUGUUAGGGGGUUUCCGCCCCUUAGUGCUGCAGCUAACGCAUUAAGCACUCCGCCUGGGGAGUACGGCCGCAAAGGCUGA
rnacentral:rRNA from 1 species